rnacentral:rRNA from 1 species
CCUACGGGUGGCAGCAGUGAGGAAUAUUGGUCAAUGGUCGGGAGACUGAACCAGCCAAGCCGCGUGAGGGAUGAAGGUACAGAGUAUCGUAAACCUCUUUUGUCAGGGAACAAAGACUGGGACGCGUCCCCGGAUGAGUGGACCUGAAGAAAAAGCAUCGGCUAACUCCGGGCCAGCAGCCGCGGUAAUACGGAGGAUGCGGGGGUUAUCCGGAUUUAUUUGGUUUAAAGGGUGCGCAGGCGGAAGGGUAAGUCAGCGGUCAAAGCCUGGGGCUCAACCCCGGCCCGCCGUGGAAACUGGCAGUCUUGAGUUGGAGAGAAGUAUGCGGAAUGCGCGGUGUAGCGGUGAAAUGCAUAGAUAUCGCGCAGAACUCCGAUUGCGAAGGCAGCAUGCCGGCUCCAAACUGACGCUGAGGCACGAAAGCGUGGGUAUCGAACAGGAUUAGAUACCCCGGUAGUC